rnacentral:rRNA from 1 species
AUGGCCGCGUUUGCGGUGAAGGGGUCGCUGCGAGGACCUUGCUUCUCGGCGGCCGGCCUCUCCUCCGGCCAGAACCCGCCGCGGAGCAGCGCUGCCCCACUCCCGUCCAUGGUCUGGAGCACGGGCAGCGACCCAAGGCAUGGGAAGCUCAAGGCCCAGGCAACUGAGUGGAUGCGGCCAAAUGAUGAUUAUCGAUAUGAUGUUCAACCAUCACAGAGGCACACAGAUUUUAUUUGCCAACCUGGUCCAGCCAUGCACAUCGACCUUCUCAACAGGGAGCGGCUUCGUUAUCCAAUGUUGGAGAGAAAGAAGCUAGUCGUUGCAGACCAGGUUAAGAAGCGUCCGAAGGCUCUUCAGAAGUGUGCUAGAGAUUUUGCAGAUUGGCUGUUAAAGUACAUUUGCUCAGAGAAUGAGAACUACAAAUACGUCUUAGUUGCCACUAAAGAGAAUGCCAAUAUGCUUAUGAAGGAGGGUUUUAUUUCUUCUUAUGCCCGAGAUGAAAUAUUACAUGGUCUUGAAAGGAUUAAAAAGGACAUUGAAGAAGGAAGAUUUCAGUGGAGGGAUAAUAAAGAUCUAAGGACUAAUAUUAUUGACACACUCAUUGAUAUAGUUGGAGGGCCAGCCAAGAGGCUGGAUAGAGUGAUAAGUCAUUAUGUUCAACUGCUAACAGUCCUCCAAUUACGGUGUCAUGAUUCCAUUGAUCAAGUUAUUUCUCAAACAAAAGAACUCCAGACUGAGCUUUUUUUGCUAGCAAUCAGAAAUGGGGGAUUGGUCCUCCCUAGCAUAUGGAGGUGUGCAAAUUGGAUUCUACUUGGUGAUGUGGUAUUGUCGCAACUUGAACAGCUUGACAUGGAUGUCUCUCAGCUUGUUAGUUGUAAAAACAAGAUGGACUCUACACUACAAACAGCUCUCCCUUCAGACAGCACCUAUUGUUCUAUGAACAGUUUAUGUAAGGAUCCACGUCACAUGCACAAUUUCGCUGUGGAAUUUGGAAAUUUGAUUGUCGGGGACAUCUCCCGCGAUCUUUCAAAUAUUGGAUUGGAGCUGAGUUCAUGGAUGGAGUUGCACUUGUUGACACCAAAUGAUAAAGUGAUUGAAAGUUUUUCGCUUAUGCGAAAGCAAAUGCUGGAUCUAGAUAAUUUAACAGCCACACGGAGCGCUUAUUCUAUCUACAAUCCUGUUGAGGAUAGCAGCAGGCAAUUUUUGGCAAGCUUUAGAAGUGUUUCAGAAAUACUUAAAGCAGCGAAAGAAUUUGCAAAACAAUCAUCUUUUGAUCAUGAAAAGGCUCGAACCUUUCUUGCGCCAAGAGAUAAUUUUGGUGCUUCACAACUAGCUGAAUUCCAUGCAACUAAGAGUCUAGACGGUCAGAAUAAAGAUGAAGGAGGUAGUGCUAUCGAGAAGCAAAAUUUCAGAUUACAUAGUGAUGAUACAAUGAGGAAAUUGCUCGAUUGGCCUCGACGCCUUCAAUCGGAGAAAAAUGACUAA